rnacentral:rRNA from 1 species
UACGAAGGGGGCUAGCGUUGCUCGGAAUCACUGGGCGUAAAGGGUGCGUAGGCGGGUCUUUAAGUCAGGGGUGAAAUCCUGGAGCUCAACUCCAGAACUGCCUUUGAUACUGAAGAUCUUGAGUUCGGGAGAGGUGAGUGGAACUGCGAGUGUAGAGGUGAAAUUCGUAGAUAUUCGCAAGAACACCAAGUGGCGAAGGCGGACUCACUGGCCCGAUACUGACGCUGAGGCACGAA